CCUACGGGAGGCAGCAGUGAGGAAUAUUGGUCAAUGGGCGCGAGCCUGAACCAGCCAAGUCGCGUGAGGGAUGCAGGUUCUAUGGAUCGUAAACCUCUUUUAUAAGGGAAUAAAGUGUGGGACGUGUCCUAUUUUGUAUGUACCUUAUGAAUAAGGAUCGGCUAACUCCGUGCCAGCAGCCGCGGUAAUAGGGAGGAUCCGAGGGUUAUCCGGCUUUAUUGGGUUUAAAGGGUGCGUAGGCGGAUGUUUAAGUCAGCGGUAAAAUGCUGUGGCUAAACCAUGGAUGGCCGUUGGAACUGGGGAGCUUGAGUGGGCGAGAGGUAGGCGGAAUGCGUGGUGUAGCGGUGAAAUGCAUAGAUAUCACGCAGAACUCCGAUUGCGAAGGCAGCAUACCGGGGCCCGACUGACGCUGAGGCACGAAAGCGUGGGGAUCGAACAGGAUUAGAUACCCUUGUAGUC
rnacentral:rRNA from 1 species